CAUGGUUUCGAUCUAGGGGAGGUAACAGACUGCCAUCCGAAGAUGUAAUCCAAUGUGAAUGUAGUAACAUCUGUCUCGGGUGAAGUCACUCUCUACUCUGCAAAGUAGGUGAUUAACUACGAAAAACCAAUGCACCAUUAUUAUGAUGGUAUAACGCUCGGGUGGAAAGAUCUCUUUAAACUUGGUAAAAAACCAAAGGCUGGCUAAAUUCUGUAGACUUGGCACGUUCGAAAGUUGACUUUGGUUGCUUAAACUAUUCAGGUUAAGUAACUUGAGUACUAACUCUUCGCGAUGAGUACUAGCGUUACCUUCUCAAGCAAAAUAUUCUUAUACGUUGCCGAUGGAGAGCUUCUCGGCCCUUUGAUGAAAUUUUGGGGAGACUUUCCGAAUUAGCUAGGAACCUGCCUCUAUUCGAGUGAUUAGCUGUGGACGAAAACCAUGGAGGUAAGAACUAGCUAAUGAGUGAUAAUAGGCAUCACUAUUGCUCUGGUUCCGAGGCCGCUAGUGGUUGAUUGGAUUCAUGUUGGUCUGGUCGCCUAACUGGUGUGUAAUGGUGCUUGUUCUAAGUCCCUUGAUACGUUGGUAUGAGUACUGUCAUUUUUGUGCUAUUUACUAGUAUUGUAUAUAUUGGCCGUCCAUCCCUAAAACCUUCGGGAUAAACCUCACAUCGUCUAAAGGUUUGCACAAUUGUAAUUUAGUACAACUUGACUUAAUAUGAAUACAUAUAUCUUCCCAUUUGGUCGCACCAAUAUUUAAGACUUUUUAGAUUAACUAUAUCGUCUACGCCGAUGAUGUGGGAGUAGGGAAGAAGCAAAAAAAAUAUUACUAAAUUGCUUUACGCCCAUAUUCUAUUAACAAUAGUGAGCAUCAAAAUGCAUAAUCUAAUAACAAGACGUGUGUGCGUCUUGUAAGUAUACAGAAGGAAAAAGGUGAUUGUCCUUUUAAAUGUUUUCAUAGUGCUAGAUCUCCUUACCUGCGUUGCUUAAUCCAUGGGAUUAUGAACUUGAGACCCGUGCCCUCCUUUCCUAAUGAUACCAACGAGUUAGCCAACUCAUUUUUUUUAGGUAUAAAGUUAUCGA